ACCUCUUUCUUAUUCUUAAGCAAGUCCCCGAGAGGGCUUAAUUGAUCCAUGAUUUAUGUUUCAUCUUUCGCUUCCUUUUCCUUUGUUUCGAGAAAUAUAGCGAUCAAUUCCGAUUCUUUCUUUUUCUAUUGAUUCUUUUCCGAUCGAGAUGUAUGGCUCUAUAAGUCUACGUGUCUAUAUAGAUCCUGUUCAUGGAUUAACGAAAAUGUGCAAAAGCUCUAUUUGCCUCUGCCAUUCUAUGAGUCUCUUCCUUUUUGCGUAUGGCAUCACCACUCCCUUUGGCAGCAUCCACUAAUUCGGAACUUAAUUUGAAAGCCAUAUUUCGACCCGGACGUUUUCGGGAUGCCCCUAAUAACCAACGAAUGGCAAGUGCUUUUCCUUGUGUGGAUCCUAUUUCAAUGGGAACUUGCUGAGUCGAUCCGCCUACACGUCUUGCUUUUACUGCUAUAUCGGGAGUUACUCCACGUAUUGC
rnacentral:misc_RNA from 1 species